rnacentral:rRNA from 1 species
AUAUGUUAAUAGCAUAUUCAUUUGACGUUAGCUGCAGAAGAAAGCACCGGCUAACUCCGUGCCAGCAGCCGCGGUAAUACGGAGGGUGCGAGCGUUAAUCGGAAUUACUGGGCGUAAAGCGCAUGCAGGUGGUUUGUUAAGUCAGAUGUGAAAGACCCGGGGCGUCAACCUCGGAAUUGCAUUUGAAACUGGCAAACUAGAGUACUGUAGAGGGGGGUAGGAAUUUCAGGUGUAGCGGUGAAAUGCGUAGAGAUCUGAAGGAAUACCGGUGGCGAAGGCGGCCCCCUCGGACAGAUACUGACACUCAGAUGCGAAAGCGUGGGGAGCAAACAGGAUUAGAUACCCUGGUAG